rnacentral:snRNA from 1 species
GGAUGUGAGGGCGAUCUGGCUGCAACAUCUGUCACACCAUUGAUUACCAGGGUUGAUUUGGCUGAUCUGACUGGCUAGGCAGAUAUCCCCUUCCUCCCUCAUCACUCCAUGUGCGUCCCUCCCAAAGCUGUGCACUCAGUCGAAACGGAUGACCAUCAUCAAUAGAGGAGGACCAGUCUUCCGUCAAGGGUAUACCAGUAGCUACACUUCCAUGCUAGAACAUCCAAACAAGCUCUUAAAAAAAAUCAAUAAAUAAAGGAUGAUAUGGUAUCACUGUUUGCUCACAUGCUCUUCCAGUUUGGGCUGA